rnacentral:rRNA from 1 species
AGCGAACGCUGGCGGCAGGCCUAACACAUGCAAGUCGAACGAACUCUUCGGAGUUAGUGGCGGACGGGUGAUUAACACGUGGGAACGUGCCUUUUGGUUCGGAAUAACUCAGGGAAACUUGUGCUAAUACCGAAUGUGCCCUUCGGGGGAAAGAUUUAUCGCCAUUAGAUCGGCCCGCGUCUGAUUAGCUAGUUGGUGAGGGAACGGCUAACCAAGGCGACGAUCAGUAGCUGGUCUGAGAGGAUGACCAGCCACACUGGGACUGAGACCCGGACCAGACUCCUACGGGAGGCAGCAGUGGGGAGUAUUGCGGAAUGGGCGAAAGCCUGACGCAGCCAUGCCGCGUGAAUGAUGAAGGUCUUAGGAUUGUACAAUUCUUUCACCGGGGACGAUAAUGACGGUAACCGGAGAAGAAGCCCCGGCUAACUUCGUG